UACGAAGGGUGCAAACGUUGCUCGGGAAUUAUUGGGCGUAAAGCGCACGUAGGCGGCUAUCUAAGUCGGAUGUGAAAUCCCUCGGCUUAACCAAGGAAGUGCACCCGAAACUGGAUAGCUUGAGUACAGAAGAGGAUCGCGGAAUUCCCGGUGUAGAGGUGAAAUUCGUAGAUAUCGGGAGGAACACCAGUGGCGAAGGCGGCGAUCUGGGCUGAUACUGACGCUGAGGCGCGAAAGCGUGGGGAGCGAACAGG
rnacentral:rRNA from 1 species